rnacentral:rRNA from 1 species
AUGGCUGCGUCACCACUGCCGAGAUGGGCCCCGAAGCCGAGCCCCACCAGGCCACUACAGUCGAUGACGUCGUCGAGCACUGCUAGGGUUUCAUGGCGCGGCUGGUCGGCGUGGCCGUCAAGCCCCAUCUUCUUCCCACGUUGUCUCUCUAACUCGGAGCCAUGGGAGGCUUCGCCGGCCGACGGGGUAGUGGACAAUGUGGAGCCCGGCGUUGCUGGGGUAUUUCUGAAGUGGCAGGAUCUAUCGGUGACGGUCAUAAGCAGGAGAAAGGGCCAUGCUGUGAUCCUUGAUGGGCUUAGUGGAUACGCGCGCCCUGGCGAAGUGCUGGCUCUCAUGGGUCCUUCCGGCUGUGGCAAAACUACUCUACUUGAUGCCUUGGCUGGACGACUCGGACCUAACAUGAAAGCGAGGGGAGACAUGUUGAUCAAUGGAUGCCGUCACAAGGUUGCAUCCGGAACCUCGGCGUAUGUGACCCAAGAAAACGUGCUGAUGGCGACGUUGACGGUGGCGGAGGCAGUGCACUAUUCUGCACAGCUUCAGCUGCCGGACUCCUUGACGCCGGCGGAGAAGCGGUCAUGGGCCGACGAUGUUAUCCGGCAGAUGGGACUCGCCACUGUGGCCGGAACUCGGAUCGGCGGGCGAGUUUGCAAGGGAAUCAGCGGUGGCCAGCGGAAGCGAGUGAGCAUCUGCAUUGAGCUGCUGGCGUCGCCGGCGCUCAUCUUCCUCGACGAGCCAACAAGCGGGCUUGAUAGCGCCACGUCGUACCAUGUCAUGAGUCGCAUCGCCGGGAUCGCCAGAAGGAAUGGGACGACGGUCGUCGCAGCCAUCCACCAGCCAAGCACAGAGGUGUUCGAGCUCUUCCAUGGCCUCUGCCUGCUGGCCAAUGGGAGGGCAGUUUAUUUUGGGCCAGCUUCCAAGGCAAUAGAGUUCUUUGAUGCUAAUGGGUUCCCAUGCCCAUUGAGGAGGAAUCCUUCUGAUCACUUCUUAAGGAUGAUAAACACAGACUUUGAGGAAGCCGAGGAAGAAUCAGCGAUAAAUUUGGCACAUGCUGCAAAAGUAAUCCAAACUCUAGUGGCUUCUUCUGGCUCUCCUGCUAUUUUAGGAACUGAAAUGGAAGCAAGCAAAUUAAUUAAGAAGGGUGACCAUGUACUUCAACAAAGGCAAGCAUCGUUCUGGACCAAAUCGAUUGUCCUAACCAAAAGAUCAAUGAUUAACAUGCACAGAGACAUAGGCUAUUAUUGGUUACGUUUUGUAAUCAACAUCGCACUUUUUUUAACCAUUGGGACCAUUUUCUUCAAUGUUGGUCACAAUUAUGCAUCAAUCCAAGCACGAGCAUCUAUGCUUAUGUUUACAUCAACCUUCAUGACAAUGAUGGCAAUCGGAGGUUUUCCAUCAUUUGUCGAGGAUAUGAAGAUAUUUGAGAAAGAGCAGCGGAGUGGACACUACGGGGCCAUUGAAUUUGUAAUAGCCAACACACUUUCAUCAACUCUAUACUUGGGUCUCAUCUCCGUACUACCUGCCGCAAUUGCUUAUUACCUAACUGGACUUCAAAGAGGAAUAGAACACUUCUUCUUCUUUGUUGCAACUCUAUGGACAUGCACAAUGUUGGUUGAGGGUUUGAUGAUGAUUGUUGCAGCCAUCGUACCUGAUUUUCUCCUAGGUAUAAUUACGGGUUCUAGAGUACAAGGGCUACUAAUGCUAAACGCUGGCUUCUUCAGGCUUCCAAAUGACCUCCCAAAACCAAUAUGGAAGUACCCAACGUACUACAUAUCUUACCAAAAGUAUACAACUCAAGGAUUGUCCAAAAAUGAAUUCUUGGGCUUGGUCUUCCAAGAUUUAGGUCUUGCCAGGGGUAUUGACAUUAGUGGUAAAUAUAUCCUUAAGUACAACUUACAAGUGGAGUUAGGUUACUCUAAGUGGGUCGUUCUUGCGAUCUUACUUGGAAUGGUCAUUAUCUAUAGGGUGCUUUUCUUGGUCAUUAUAAAGGUUUCAAAAAUGGCAAAACCAUUCAUAAAAUGUCUAAUAGCAAAAGUGUAA